UACGGAGGGGGCAAGCGUUAUUCGGAAUUAUUGGGCGUAAAGGGCGCGUAGGCGGCUAGAUGUGUCAAAGGUGAAAUCCCUCGGCUCAACUGAGGAACUGCCUUUGAAACUGUCUGGCUUGAGACCGGGAGAGGGUAGCGGAAUUCCCAGUGUAGCGGUGAAAUGCGUAGAUAUUGGGAGGAACACCAGUGGCGAAGGCGGCUACCUGGACCGGUUCUGACGCUGAGGCGCGAAAGCGUGGGUAGCAAACAGG
rnacentral:rRNA from 1 species